AAUGGGACCCUCAGGACCCCGCCCCGCGCCCUCGGGGCUCUUUAAAAACAGAUGGUUUGAUUUCACAGCGAGGCUUUUCUUCUUUUUCUUUUUGCAGGCAACACGACUGAAAUGUGAACGUUUCUGUUAAAAUACGCUCAGGAAAAAGUACAAUGUAUGUCAAACAGAUCUUAGGCACGUACCAGGAGGCAUUUUUCCUUCUCCCUUUCCCCUUCCCAUUUGCGUUCCUCCGGCAAGAGCGACGCCUGGCGAUGGGGCGAUGGGGCCGGCCCUCCCCUGCCCGGCUCCGGUCCUGCGCUAGGCCCACCUCGCAGCCGGUGUAAACCACAGCUUCCAGAAAACAGAAGCAUGUGAAGAUUCUACUGUUGUAAAAUAGCUUGGUUUUGUAAUGGGACAAAUGGAUUCCUUGAAUGUGCCCUUUCUCCCAUGCAAUGUGGGCCCAGUCUCCCGCCUCACUCAGGAGAGGCAUCAGAGCUGACGGUCUUUAGAUGAAUGAGACCUUGCUAUUAAGAAUCAGACAAUUUAUGUGUUCAUUUAUCUUUACCAAGUUCUGUACUAAAAUUAUCUAGGUGCUGCUCAUUUUAUAUUAUAGAAACCAUUUCUACAGGCUUUAACAAACUUAGAGUGUACCACUGAUUUGUUAAUCUUUACUGAACUUUCAAGUUAAUGGUAUUGUCAAGAUGACCCCUUGGAGUUCUCCAGUCACCAGAAACGUGUGCUGUCACCCCUUGUUCUACUCCUGGGACUGUGGGGCCCGUGGGACACGCAGAUAUGGAAAGUUGCCCUCCCUCUGCGUGGGUUUCACACCCUCCAGCUGCUGUGUUUUCGACCCACGUUUGAAAAAUAUCUGAAAGUGGACCGUUUCAAACCCCUGCUGUUCAAGAGUCAGCUGUAUUGUGUCAAUACAAUCUGAUGUGCUAAAUCCAUUGGCUGUGCUGGUAGUGCAAAGGAAAGCACCCCAGUUCUUUACUGUCAAAAACACAUGAAGCUGUUUUUGACAGAUGGCUCAGUCACUCCUCUACUUUUUGUGUAAAAUGAGGUAGUUGGUCUAGUUGAUGACGAAACUCUAAAACUACAUAAUACUAAGAUUAUUACCAAAAAAAAAUCUUAACCAGAUGCAGUGUUCCCUACAAAAAGCUGAAGGUAAUUCACUUGAAGUCAUUACGAUGAGUUCCAUCAUCUAUUUUCAGGAAUCAUUUAAUUCCUUCCUUUAGAACGUGAACAACAUUCUGCUCUCAAGGGUCCAGGACGCCAAAAAGAAAAGAGACAAAAUUAGCAACAAACUAUAUUCUAGGAUUACUGGGAAAAAUUUUUUUCUAGAUUUGAUUUAGUUGGUUAUUUUUUUGAGAAAACUAAGUUGGAUCAUAAGAAGAAAACUGAGCAGAGGAAAAAAGUCUGUAUUUAAUCUACUCUGACAGUACUAUAUAUGGGUCAUAAGAUGGGUGAGUUAUUUUUUUUUUCAAUCCAAUCCAUAAACAGGUUAAAGUUCUGAUGUUUUGACUGCAAUCUUUUUUUUCUUCACCCAGAAGGUACAUAUUUAAUUUUAGAUAAAUAUUAA